AUUAGGGUGUCUGAAUAAAGUAACAAACUGUAAAUUUGUAAAUGAAUAAAAUUUCUCCUGAUA
rnacentral:tRNA from 1 species